UUUUAAAUGCCCUAAGUGGGUGGGUCGCAAACAGGUGUCACUGGCGUGAAAAGCAAGCCCCCCACGCAUCACGCCAAUAGGGUUAACCCACUUGGUGGGAAUUGCAAGGUGGCUCAUUAGGGAGGAUCACUACAGUAUAGCUGAGAACUUUUACAGCUUCUGUAUAAAAUAAUAUGGCAUAGUGAAAAUAUACAGUAUAUCAAGCACUACUUUUGUUAUUUUCGCACAACUUGAUUUGCUACCCCUUUAUUUUCGCUACCUCUAUAUUUUGUUCUCAUGUCUCCAUAGACAGGAAAAAGAUUGAUGUAUGGAGAUUAAGGGAGAUAAGAGUCUGUCUCCUCAGCAAAUGGCACAAUCAAUAUCAACUGUCCCAGGAUGCACCACCACUAGCAGAGGGCCAGGAAAACCACCAAGCUCCCUGCAAGGCUGAAUAAUGUAAGCCUGGGAAAACGCUUGGGCUUCUUCUGGAUGAUCUGGACAUGCUACAACACCAAAAGAUGAAUUACCGCCACCAACUGGACGACGUUGAAAAAAACAAGUCUGUCUCCUCAGCAAAUGGCACAAUCAAUAUCAACUGUCCCAGGAUGCACCACCACUAGCAGAGGGCCAGGAAAACCACCAAGCUCCCUGCAAGGCUGAAUAAUGUAAGCCUGGGAAAACGCUUGGGCUUCUUCUGGAUGAUCUGGACAUGCUACAACACCAAAAGAUGAAUUACCGCCACCAACUGGACGACGUUGAAAAAAACAAGGUAAAAAUAAAACAUGAUAGGGAAAACAAAUCCACCCAAAAUAAAACAAUAAAAACCACAUUGACAAAACCAAAACCCCCAAACACCCACUUCUUCUAUCCUUCAAAUCCCCAUAUCUCCCUUCUUCUGACUAUCCUAGUUAAAUAAAGGUUAAAUAAUGUAUUCAUGUUUAAUUCUCACCUGAGAGGCUUGUGACAAUACUCCAUGCAACUCCUCUGCCAAGAAGUCUUUCAGUCCCAGGAAACAUUCCGUCGCAUCCACAACAAUGUCUAUUUUCCAGGACUUCCUCUCCACCUUGGCAGUGCCAUUAAUCACCAUAGCUAUAAAGGCCACAAAGUCCACCUUCUGUACCUUUAACAUAUCUGGGUUCUGCCAUUGAACGGUAACCCCUGCAGCCUUCAGUGAAUGCCUAUCCACCACCAUGGACUACUCAGGAGCAGCAUUUGAACCCUCAACCCUUUUAAAUGCCCUAAGUGGGUGGGUCGCGAACAGGUGUCACUGGCGUGAAAAGCAAGCCCCCCACGCAUCACGCCAAUAGGGUUAACCCACUUGGUGGGAAUUGCAAGGUGGCUCAUUAGGGAGGAUCACUACAGUAUAGCUGAGAACUUUUACAGCUUCUGUAUAAAAUAAUAUGGCAUAGUGAAAAUAUACAGUAUAUCAACCACUACUUUUGUUAUUUUCGCACAACUUGAUUUGCUACCCCUUUAUUUUCGCUACCUCUAUAUUUUGUUCUCAUGUCUCCAUAGACAGGAAAAACAUUGAUGUAUGGAGAUUAAGGGAGAUAAGAGGUAUGUGGUAACAUGAGUGAUGGAAGCAGCCUGAAUAAGAAAAAUAUAUACAAAUUGUAUGUGUGUGUGUGCGCAUGUGCAUGACCCUGUACGUGCCUCUGUGUGGGAUUUGGAGAAAAACAGGGAGAGAGCUUGAGAGACAAUCCCAGAGAGACUGUGUGUUGAACCCGCUGCCCCCUAAUACCCCUACCUGCUCCCUGCAUGCUUUGCCAUGGUUACGAGACAGGGCUCCCAGUUAAUGUGUUUUUCAGCAGGGGUGAGCUGGGUACUAAUGUGUCUCAGUCUGUCUCCUCAGCAAAUGGCACAAUCAAUAUCAACUGUCCCAGGAUGCACCACCACUAGCAGAGGGCCAGGAAAACCACCAAGCUCCCUGCAAGGCUGAAUAAUGUAAGCCUGGGAAAACGCUUGGGCUUCUUCUGGAUGAUCUGGACAUGCUACAACACCAAAAGAUGAAUUACCGCCACCAACUGGACGACGUUGAAAAAAACAAGGUAAAAAUAAAACAUGAUAGGGAAAACAAAUCCACCCAAAAUAAAACAAUAAAAA